rnacentral:lncRNA from 1 species
CACAGAUGAUGAAAUUUAAUUAUUAAUACAAUAUACAUCAUGAGAAACGAAAGCUGAAAUUGAUUCAGUUUAGUACUUUUCUCUGUAUGCUCUGUGAUUAUAAAGGCCUUAAAUUCUGUGAUAUAUACUGUAAAUGAUUUUCACAGAAGUCUUAAAGUACUUAAAUCACUGCUGAUAGUCUGGUUGUUUAUAUUUUCACGUUUUUGUGUCUGUAAGGCUGUUUGAUGACGAUUUGAACUCCUCUGGGAGAUGAGGACACACCCACAUCUGUUCCAUACUGCAGCCAUGGAUGGUGUUACGGCUCUGAGUCAGCUUUGGGCCAUCAGAUGCACACACUGGAAAACCAGCGCCUGUACUUCAUGCAGGAGAGACGGCCUCAGUGAUAAUUCAUCAGCAGCUGUGAGGAGAUGCAUUUGAAUAUCUUCUGGUUCCACUUUUCCUUACCUGAAAGCUGAGGAUGGCUGAUUCCUGACAAGGACACACACCUCAGCACUUAUCAUGGGUGUUACAUCCUCCGUGCAGCAAUUCCAGAGAAAACGAGAGAGCAACGACCACUCAUUAAGACCAGCCAGAAAUCUGUCCCUUUCUGGCAGCUGUGGAAACUUCCAAUAAGAAAGUUUGCAUUCUUAGAACAAUGCUGGAUCAUGUGUGAUGUGUCAUCAUAUGAGGAUAUUACAUUUUAACUUAAUUCUGCUCAAUUUAGUGUUUUGAUCGUUGAUCCAGUAUGGCAGCUUUGUGUUGUGCUGCAAGUUAAAACUCAUUGUCCUCAUGAGCACAGCAUUUAACAACUCUCCUUAAAAAAGUCGAUUGACUUUAACUGGACACAAUGGUUUCCAGUGGGAGAUACAUUCAUCACUCAUCCGUGACACUGGAGAAGUCACCUGAGUGAGUGAUAAAACAAUUUUCCAUGGAAAAUCCAGAGGAACUAAACUUUGUUUGUUGUUUCUUUGGGCUCAAUUUCAGCCUCAGCAGCAUCUCUCAGAAGAAAACUGUUUUGCCAAUAAUCAGAUGAAAAGAUUGUUGAACCAGGUGGUAUUCUCUGGAGUUUAAGACCAAAACUGAACUCAAACAGUGAAUUGACAUUAGACUGGAAUUCAUAAGAUGAAUAGAAAUACUGCUGAAGCUGAAUGAUUCAUUCAUGUGUAUAUACAUAUAUAUAUAUAUAUAUAUAUAUACACAUGACUUUUUUUCCCCAAUUCACCAGGUCUGUAAAGUUCAGUAUGACUGUGGCACAUGAUACAAAAGAAUAAAUACAGAAGAAUAAAAACUUUAUGUGAAUAACUUUACUCUUCUUAAAAAUAACUCAUAAAACAAAUAAAAGUACAAAUGUGUACAAGUUAGAGACUUCCUCAGUAAGUUUACACUCUUUUGGAGUGAGUUUAAUUGUGUGUUAAAGAGAAAGAGAUUAGGAGGAUGCAGAGUCCAUCAUCACUGAGGCCGUCUCUCCUGCAUGAAGUCCAGGUGCUGGUUUUCCAGUGUGUGCAUCUGAUGCCCCAAAUCUGACUCAGAGCUGUAACACCAUCAAUGGCUGCAGUAUGGAACAGAUGUGGGUGUGUCCUCAUCUCCCAGAGGAGUCCAAAUCGUCAUCAAACAGCCUUACAGACACAAAAACGUGAAAAUAUAAACAACCAGACUAUCAGCAGUGAUUUAAGUACUUUAAGACUUCUGUGAAAAUCAUUUACAGUAUAUAUCACAGAAUUUAAGGCCUUUAUAAUCACAGAGCAUACAGAGAAAAGUACUAAACUGAAUCAAUUUCAGCUUUCGUUUCUCAUGAUGUAUAUUGUAUUAAUAAUUAAAUUUCAUCAUCUGUGUCUUUACCACACAUUUGCCACACAGGUGUAUAUACUGUAGGUUCAGUGAAUGCUUAAAUUGCACUGAUUAGAAUAUACUGGACAUUCAAAGCUAAGAUUCAGCGCACUGUGUUAGAGGCUGGGAUUUGAUGAAUUCAUCAUAUAUACAACCUUUGAUCAUCAUUUAUGUCCAGUUGAGAAUGAAUCUGUGCACUCACAUAUUAAAUGAACUGAAAUCAGUAGUGUGAUCUCCAGUCUUGAUAUAAGGAAUGAGAGAACUGACAGCUGUUAUUUUAAUCAGCCUGUCUCAGUUGUUUUAACUCUAAGUAUCACAAAGUAAUGUGGUAACAUCUGGACUGACGAGUUUACUGUCAGCAUUUUAAUCGCUAGUUUAAAGGCUGUAGGUUGCAGCCAUUGCUCUAACACUGUAUAAAUGUAACAGGCCUCAGUGCUGGUUCUAAUGGUCUGAGCUGCUUCCAGCUUUAUUUGUGAAGAGCACAGCAGCUUACAAAACAC